UCACUUCAGAGAGUAUUUAUUCAAAGCGAUUAAAACUGCCUCAAAAAAAAAAAAAAAGAGCGAAACAAAACAACAAAAAAACAAACAGGAAAACCUCCUCCACUUCCAAGAAGACAGGAACUUAGUGUGACUGAGUCGGCUUGGAACUCCUGUCUACACUGCGCUCCUGACACAAACCAGGGCCAACUGGAGACUCCCGGAAAAGGCUCUCCCCUACUGCUGCCAGAGGAAACUUCUGAAAGUCAACAUUGCUCAUGUUCCUACUGUUAAAAGUCGUAGAAGGAAGGAAGAAGAAAGGCUGAGAGGUAGGCUUGGAGACCAUUUUAAGGAUUUUGGUUUUUAUUCUAAGUGCAACGAAAAGCCCUAUCUGGCUGAUGGUUUUGACUUUCUAAGCUCAGAGACUUUUACCCUGGAGUCCCUAGACCUUAGGAUUAGACCCUUUUGAUAACUAUGUCUGCAAGAAUCCAACCAAGUUUGGUAGGCCUUUCUAAAGCACUGCGCCAUAGCCACUUGGGAUCACUUCCUCCGCUGGCUAAAUUGUCUCAGCCCUGGCCCCAUCCAUUGCCGAUUUUGUCUUUCAUUUUUCUGUAAUCAACUGUCAAGCUCUGGAAGAGAGACAAAAUUUUACCUUCACCCUCUUAGGGUUCUUUUUGACUGGGCCUGACAAUUAAAAUGACAUAAGACAGAUCAGCAGCAGAAAAGCAUACCAAUUUGCUUGAUACAAGUUUUAUAUGACAUAGGAGCCUUCAUAAGGAAAGAAGACCUAAUCAAGUGGCAAAACCUACUCACUUUUAUAUUAGGUUGAAUGGAGAGGCAAUUAUGGAAAAAUGAGUGUAUGGGGAGGCUAAAGGAAGGGAAGAAUUAUUUUCACAAGGUUUAUACGGCAUUCUCUUUGUCUUAACUUCUUGUCCUUGAUGAUAGUGUUCUGUUCCUUGUGGUGUAGGGAGGGCAUCUUUCAUAUAGGAAUUUCAUCUCCUGCUUUCAAGUAAAAGAGGGACAGUCAGAGUGUUUUUCUUAUAUUUGCUGUUUU
rnacentral:lncRNA from 1 species